CACACUUCCCAGCCGUUGGCUAAGAUCAAGUGCAUCAUCUUUUUUAUCACUUUAAAUCUGAUACAUCCUCAGCUUGAAGAUUUUAUAUUAAAUGGAUUUGAAGGGCACGGGAAGGGGUAACCUCUUCCUCCAUCCACCCCAUGCAUCAACCCAAAACUGCAGUGCUUCCAGGUACCGUGGCCACAUC
rnacentral:snRNA from 1 species